rnacentral:misc_RNA from 1 species
AACGAAAAAUGUGUUUUCAACGCCCACACGAGUAACUAAAUAUUUAAGAUCCUUGAUAUGUAAAAUAAAUGGUAUGUAAUUUUCUAGUGUAUACAUUUUGUAUACAUGAGAUCACUGCAAAUUAAAAAGUAGUUAAUAUAUUUUAUUAAGUACUCUCAAAAUGUUAAAUAACCUUUUU